GGGGCCUGCGGAAGGAUCAUUACCGAGUGCAGGUCUGCCCCCGGGCAGGCCUAACCUCCCACCCGUGAAUACCUGACCAACGUUGCUUCGGCGGUGCGCCCCCCCCCGGGGGGCAGCCGCCGGAGACCACACCGAACCUCUUGUUAUAGCGUGUCGUCUGAGCUUGAUACAAGCAAACCGAAUUAAAACUUUCAACAAUGGAUCUCUUGGUUCCGGCAUCGAUGAAGAACGCAGCGAACUGCGAUAAGUAAUGUGAAUUGCAGAAUUCAGUGAAUCAUCGAGUCUUUGAACGCACAUUGCGCCCCCUGGCAUUCCGGGGGGCAUGCCUGUCCGAGCGUCAUUGCUGCCCUUCAAGCCCGGCUUGUGUGUUGGGUCGUCGUCCCCCCCGGGGGACGGGCCCGAAAGGCAGCGGCGGCACCGCGUCCUGGUCCUCGAGCGUAUGGGGCUUUGUCACCCGCUCGUUUAGGGCCGGCCGGGCGCCAGCCGACGUCUCCAAACCUUUUAUUUUACCAGGUUGACCUCGGAUCAGGUAGGGAUACCCGCUGAACUUAAGCAUAUCAAAAGGCGGAGGAA
rnacentral:rRNA from 1 species